rnacentral:rRNA from 1 species
AACCUGGUUGAUCCUGCCAGUAGUCAUAUGCUUGUCUCAAAGAUUAAGCCAUGCAUGUCUCGGCAUAAACCUACGUAUGGUGAAGCUGCGAAUGGCUCAUUAGAACAGUUGUGGCUUAUCUGGUACUUGAAAGAUAGAUGGAUAACUGUGGUAAUUCUAGGGCUAAUACAUGCGUAAAAACCGGACUUCGAGGAACGGUUGUACUUAUUAGACAAAGAACUAAUCCGUUUCGGCGGCAUUUAGAUGAAUCAUAAUAAAAGCAUGGAGCGUAUGACUUGUGUCGGCGCUACACCAUUCAAGUUUCUGACCUAUCAGCUUUCGACGGCAGGGUAUUGGCUUACCGUGGCAUUGACGGGUAACGGGGAAUUAGGGUUCGAUUCCGGAGAGGAAGCCCGAGAAACGGCUACCACAUCUAAGGAAGGCAGCAGGCGCGCAAAUUACCCACUCCUGACACAGGGAGGUAGUGACAAGGAAUAGCAAUGCAGGUGGCAAUUGCCAUUGUGCUAUUGGAAUGAGUGGACUUUAAAUCCCUUUUCGACUAUCGAUUGGAGGGCAAGUCUGGUGCCAGCAGCCGCGGUAAUUCCAGCUCCAGUAGCGUAUAUUAAAGUUGUUGCGGUUGAAAAGCUCGUAGUUGGGUUUCUGCGGAGGAAGCGCGGUCCGCACUUGGUGCGUGUAUCUGGUCUACCUACGCAUCUUCCAGUGAAACGCUACUGCGCUUUAUUGCGUGGCGCGGCAAUCUGGACUUUUACUUUGAGGAAAUUGGAGUGUUUACAGCGAGCGAUUGGUUUGAACAUAUUAGCAUGGAAUAAUAACCUAGAACCUUGGUUCUAUUUUGUUGGUUUCUAGACUAGGGUAAUGAUCAAUAGGGAUAAUUGGGGGCAUUUGUAUCAACACGUCAGAGGUGAAAUUCUUGGAUUGUGUUACGACGAACCACUGCGAAAGCAUUUGCCAAGGAUGUUUUCAUUGAUCAAGAACGAAAGUGCAGGGAUCGAAGACGAUUAGAUACCGUCGUAGUCUGCACCGUAAACUAUGCCGAUUAAAGAUUGGAGGUCGUUCUUAUUGUGGCUCCUUCAGUAAUUUAUGAGAAAUCAAAAUUCUUGGGUUCCGGGAGGAGUAUGGUCGCAAGGCUGAAACUUAAAGGAAUUGACGGAAGGGCACCACCAGGAGUGGAGCCUGCGGCUUAAUUUGACUCAACACGGGGAAACUCACCAGGUCCAGACAUAGCAAGGAUUGACAGAAUGACAGCUCUUUCUUGAUUCUGUGGGUGGUGGUGCAUGGCCGUUCUUAGUUGGUGGAGUGAUUUGUCUGGUUAAUUCCGUUAACGAACGAGAUCUUAUCCUGCUAAAUAGGAACGUGUGUCUUCGGACAUGCAGGUUGCUUCUUAGAGGGACUUUGCGAAUUGCAGCGUAGGGAAGGUUGAGGCAAUAACAGGUCUGUGAUGCCCUUAGAUGUUCUGGGCUGCACGCGCGCUACACUGAUGCGUUCAACGAGUAUGCCUUGUCCGGCAGGACUGGGGAAUCUUGUGAAAGCGCGUCGUGAUGGGGAUAGAACACUGUAAUUAUUGUUCUUCAACGAGGAAUUCCUAGUAAGCGCGAGUCAUCAGUUCGUGUUGAUUACGUCCCUGCCCUUUGUACACACCGCCCGUCGCUCCUACCGAUGGAGUGGUCCGGUGAAUAAUUCGGAUCGAGAUCUGAAGCUCACGCUUCAAUUUUCGAAAAGUUUAGUGAACCUUAUCACUUAGAGGAAGGAGAAGUCGUAACAAGGUUUCCGUAGGUGAACCUGCAGAAGGAUC